GCUCUCCCACAUAUUAACUGACAGCUUGAUUCGUGCUAACCGCUAGCAUGCUACACUCUCAUGAAGACGUACGGCGCGGCCUACACCAAGCUAGCGCCGAUCUGGACGCAGGUUGUCGGCACCGUAAACAACUGACACCGCUCCCACGACGCCGAGACAACACGGACAGCGCGCACACCAGCCCGCGGAUACUCUGGUGUCCGUGUGUGGGGGCGCGAGAGACACGGCUCUCCUUUGAUGGACGAGGGACAGUGGGAGCUGGCUAGUCCAUCUAGCAGCCUGGCUAACGUUAGCGUCACUUACCCUGUCCGUAUUUAGCUUAGAUUCCACUCCGAGGGAGUCACACCAGAUUGGGCGGAGACUGCGACCCAAUGUAUCUGAAAUGUCAAAAUUUCUAUGAACGGUCACUUACGAAAACCGCAGAUUCUAAUGUGAGCGCGGGGGCGAUGGGGUGCGGUGAGGCCAGGGACAGCCGUGCAGCCAGGAGCCCCAUCCUGACACAGCUGUCUGUGUCUCGCUGCUGGAGGAUCCCUGCCAUCAGAGCACCUGCGAGACUGCAGACAGAGUUGACUGAGCUUCCAUCCUGCUCUCCACACAACAACACACCGUUAGCCCCCAGAGUCACCACCAGACAGUGAAGAUGCUCCAGAAGGGGGCGUGAGAGAGCCACAGCAACAUCCAGCACCUCCUCCAGAGAGCUUGGCAGCACUGCCAUGCCAUAAGACAAAACCACAUCCGCAGCUACUGUCACACUAUUUUCAUUUUUUCAACAAGGAACCUAAUUGUAACACUCAUGGGAGGGAA